rnacentral:lncRNA from 1 species
GUGGGCAUACACUGGGUAUGACAGAUUAAUUUAUACAUCUGUGUUCAAAAUUGCAGGGCCCAGUUGAGCACCUGGAAGGAGGCCUGGUCCCUGUGCUGGAGACCAAACAUUUAGAUGAUGUGUGCAGAGGACAGACCUACAGUAAGAUAGAUAAAUGAAUGAAACGUAUGACCUGAAAACUGGUGAAUCAUUUGAGGAAAUCAGUGGACCAUUCUUACAAAGCUGAUAAUCUUUGGAGUGUUCAAAGGCAGACAACCCUGGUUUACGUUUGCUCUUGUGAAAGGCAGUCCAUGCUACGGGCAGAGCAGAGCAAGACCAACACAAAGUGCUCCUGACAGUCCCCUUCAGAAAUACCAACAGAGAGCAACAAUGUAAAAGAGCAACCACAGGAUCUAAAGGGAACUUUUCCAAACACAGGAGCAGAGACAUACUGGAAAGAGAAGAGCCUUAAUAUCUGCCUGGUCGGAGAGGACACUGCAACAGUGAAAAGUUUGGCAGUGUGCGGGGAGGGCAGCUGGCUGGUCACGGUGUCUACAUCCCUGCCCAAAGUCCUUAGAAGUCCAAGGAGAUAAAGGUUGG